AACAGGAUUAGAUACCCUGGUAGUCCACGCUGUAAACGAUGUCGACUUGGAGGUUGUGCCCUUGAGGCGUGGCUUCCGGAGCUAACGCGUUAAGUCGACCGCCUGGGGAGUACGGCCGCAAGGUUAAAACUCAAAUGAAUUGACGGGGGCCCGCACAAGCGGUGGAGCAUGUGGUUUAAUUCGAUGCAACGCGAAGAACCUUACCUACUCUUGACAUCCAGAGAAUUUGCUAGAGAUAGCUUAGUGCCUUCGGGAACUCUGAGACAGGUGCUGCAUGGCUGUCGUCAGCUCGUGUUGUGAAAUGUUGGGUUAAGUCCCGCAACGAGCGCAACCCUUAUCCUUUGUUGCCAGCGAGUAAUGUCGGGAACUCAAAGGAGACUGCCGGUGAUAAACCGGAGGAAGGUGGGGAUGACGUCAAGUCAUCAUGGCCCUUACGAGUAGGGCUACACACGUGCUACAAUGGCAUAUACAAAGAGAAGCGAACUCGCGAGAGCAAGCGGACCUCAUAAAGUAUGUCGUAGUCCGGAUUGGAGUCCGCAACUCGACUCCAUGAAGUCGGAAUCGCUAGUAAUCGUAGAUCAGAAUGCUACGGUGAAUACGUUCCCGGGCCUUGUACACACCGCCCGUCACACCAUGGGAGUGGGUUGCAAAAGAAGUAGGUAGCUUAACCUUCGGGAGGGCGCUUACCACUUUGUGAUUCAUGACUGGGGUGAAGUCGUAACAAGGUAACC
rnacentral:rRNA from 1 species